rnacentral:lncRNA from 1 species
AAUAACCUCAUUGGUUGAUAUCUUUGGCGGAAGUACAUGUGAUACAUCCUCAUUCUUUCAAUAUCCAAGCUGUGGGAAGGUCGUGCUCCACGUGUUGUCGGCAAAGUAACUAUAUUCUUUAACUUUUACUUACAUUUGCCUUGGUGGCAAUAUAGCCUUGGUGGCUUUAAGACCUUGGUGGUCAUUUAUAUAUGCCUUGGUGGCAAAAGACCUAGGUGGUCAUUUAUAUAUGCCUUGGUGGCAAUAGACCUAGGUGGUCAUUUUUAUAUGCCUUGGUGGCAAUAGACCUAGGUGGUCAUUUUUAUGAUUUUUUACAUUUGCCUUGAUGGCAACAAUGAAUUAAAAAUACUAGCCUUGGGGGCGUCAAGACCUUGGUGGUCAUUUAUAUUCGCCUUGGCGGCUUCUUGAUAGAACUAGAUGGUAAUGUUUGACCUUGGUGGCAAAAUGUUUUGGGAUUUAGACCUUGGGUAGUUAUUAUCAACCCAGGUGGUCAGAUAUUUUGUUAUGCCGUGCGCCGGUUAAACGCAGGGCAAAGUGCUAUCGCUAUAUAAAAUAUAUGUGGAAGUGGGGGCUCUGGCCAUUUUGGAAAAUUGUAGUUGAAAGGAGAAUAAUAAAUUGUUUAUAGGGUAAAUAGUUUCUUUUGUUACUUUUGACUGUGUUGUGGACUUUUCAUUUAUUUUUACAUCGUACAUACUGAUAGAAAUGCUAUUUAAAGACUUUGUUAGAAAAGAAUAGAAUUAUUGAGAAAGUGGAAUAAUUUAGUGUGACAUGUCACUUGAUAUUCAUGUUUUUUUAUCGGAGUGAUGUGUAUUGAAUUAUAAGGUGUCUUCGUCGAGGUCCGCGUUCAGCGGUCUGUUUGAUUGUACAUAGAAUUGAAUAGAAUGUUUUUGUUUUCAGAUGGUGUUACCUACAGCUUUGACAGGGUGACGAAUGAAGGAGAAGUAAUAUGACAUUGCACGAUGAUUCAUGUCAAUGAGUUCGAACAACCUUUUUAAAAGGAAAGGAUUUUUUCUAAUCAGAAUAUGGUGAGAACAAAUUGCAAUUGAAGUAAUGUUUUGAUUUCUGAAAAUAGGAAAAUAAUGAAUGGGGAAAAUAUUGAUACUACACUAAAUUAUGUAUGUCUGUGUUGAGAAAGGCAGAAGAUGCCAAUAUGGCACGGUACUAAAAAAAAAAAAAAAAAAAAAUCUGUGAUGGAAGCAGCUUUUUAUGUUCAAAUGAACCUAUUUAAAAGUAAUGCUAAUAAUUUUUCCGUAAUUUCAUGAUGUUUUCUAUUGGAUGUGUAUUUAAUUUCAUUGAUGUGUUGAAAUAUGUCACAAAAAUUUUUUUGUCAUGGGAGAUUAAAUAAUGGUUGCAAUAUUUUUGUUUUGUUUUGUUUUGUUUUAUCUAAAUUAAUAAAUAAAUAUAAUGUUGAAUGAUUUUGUAUACUAGUACAAAUGUAUACUUAAAUUUUAUGUAUGGUUAAAUUUUUUAAUUUAAAUUUCUUUGUCUACAGUUCGAGGGACACUGAUUCCCUAGUGGUUUUCCACGUGGAUUGUAGGCAAAGGGAUUUUUCCUUUUCAAAGUGUGACUAAUGCUGUCUUUAGUACAAAUAAACAAUUUGUUAUUGGUUAAUAUAUUUUCAGCAGACAUGUGAAGAAUCGAGUGGAAAUACAAUUGUCAAUGUUCCUGAUUAUGAAGUAAAGAGUGUGUUUGAUUCAACAACAGUAAAGAAAGAGACAAGCCAGCAUAGUUUACACUUGGAGGUUAAGUCCCUUUGCUUACAAGCUUUCCACAUGCUGAAGAUGUUAUUAGAAUAAUGACAAUGUUCAUUUUGAUAUGAGUUCAUUGCCUUAACUCAACUUUUAAAAGUCCGUAUGUGGUCAAAUUCAUGAGAAUUUAUUGAAUUAUGAACGAUUUAUAAAGAACUG